GUUACACAAGGGGUACCAAAGUCCACUCUGAGCUUUUCCUCUGGGAACAGAUCCCAGAUUAUUCCAGACUUAAGACAUGGAGAUAUAUCUUGCUAGAGGUAGGAAGAUGAUAAGAUCAGUUUCUAUAGGUAGAGGAUAAUGUGUCCUAAAAUGUAGGUAGAGAUAAGUCUGACAGUGGUUUAGACAAAAAGGGCCUCUGCUAAUGGUGGAGAGAUCAAGGAAGAAAAGAGCAACGUUAAAGUGAGGCUGUACCCACAGAUCAUGCUCAAGCAAAUUCGAACCGUGAGCGCAUUUCUCUUAAACAAUGAACACUUAGAAUAAAAAUUAAAAUUUCCCACAAAUUUCUAAUUUUAAAAUAGUUUCCCAAGAUUUCAGUGGUAUUGUAUAUAUGCCCAUAUAAUUUUUUGGAUUACUAUUCCCACAAGUGUAAGAUGAAAGAGGACCUGCCCUCCAUUCUAUCUACUCCCUCUCUGCAAAGGCCAUUUUGAAGAUCUCAGUUUUACUGAAAGGGGUCUGCCACACAUAACUUCCCUGGUGUACCAGCAACAAGUGUUCAGUGGACCAUGGCAACACAAAGAAUGACGGAGGAGAGAAAAUGCCAUGCAGAAGUGAUAGUCAAGAUGAAGAUGUGGGAGAGGAGCAGCCCCCAGUAUAUAUUCAGUGUGUCCUCUGAAGUAACAACCAUCCCAUCUGGCUGAGAAGUGAUGGACACGGCUCCUUAACCACACUGUACCCUCUGUUCUUGGCACCUCUCUACCAGAAAGAUAUCAACAAAUUGGAUGGAAUUCAGAGAACAUGACUUCCUAUUAUCCUUCUCAAAGUUAUUGCUGCAGAGGAAAGAAGCAUACAUCUUUUACCCACCAGGAAACCCCCAAAGCAUCUAUUACCAUAAUAGCCAUGGGAAACAGAAGGCACCUCAAAUAAAGGUGGGGAAAAGAAUGAAAGAAAUGGCUUUGGCCUGUGCCUGUUUGACCUCUGAGAGAUACUUUUUGCAAGAAAUUGUUAAGUUUUGGCCCAAAAAGUGGUCGGUCUUUUAUCCUUCCUUGUGGAGGCCAAACUGCAAACCAGGAUGAAGAAACCAUCAGUGGCAGUUUGGGGAGGUGGAGGAGGGACUAUCUAGACUCAGUGAAUCACCAAGGAAACAUGAGGCCUAUUUCUCUGUGAAGCUGAACUUCAAAAAACAAUCUAAGAGAUACAAAGGGAAAAGUGUGACUGCUCUGACAGCAAAAACAAGCAAAUAUCUCCAGAGGGGAUUAAUCCUUCUGCUUCAAAGUAACUAAAACAAAGAAAGCUGAGCCAGCUUCACUGGAAACAACACCUGUCCAUCAGACAAGGAUGAGCUAAUCAAAAGAAAACACUGCCUAUGUGCACGACUCAGCAGCCUGGACAGCUAAUACCAAGGAACACGUUUUCACUAUAAAGAUUCAGCUUUCAAAAUCCAGUUCCCUCUUGUAGAGCCACAGGGUUAAAAGGGACCUUAGAGAUCAUCUACAUACAGGCCAAACCCUCAAUGAAUGCCAGUGUUCGCCUUAUGUUCUUCUUGCCGGACUCUUUUCUGGCCUCUGUUCUGUCAGGAUGUUUCCUGUUUUGCAAAACAGCUUUAAUCCUUGAGUAUAUUUAAUUGUUAGAAAACAGUUCCUCAAAUUUGACCCCAAAUUUAAGUCUAAUUUAUGAAGAAAGUUUUGCCUUUGGAGACAGGUUUAAUUUUACUUCCAUGUGGAAAACCUUCAAAUAAAAUGAUGACUAUUGUGU
rnacentral:lncRNA from 1 species